AGUGAACGCUGGCGGUAGGCCUAACACAUGCAAGUCGAACGGCAGCACAUUAAUAGCUUGCUCUUACGGGUGGCGAGUGGCGGACGGGUGAUGAAUACAUCGGAAUCUACUUUUUCGUGGGGGAUAACGUAUGGAAACUUACGCUAAUACCGCAUACGACCUCCGGGUGAAAGCAGGGGAUUUUCGGCCCUUGCGCGUUUGAUUGAGCCUUUGUCGGUUUAUCUAGUUGGCGGGGUAAAGGCCCACCAAGGCGACGAUCCGUAGCUGGUCUGAGAGGAUGAUCAGCGACACUGGAACUGAGACACGGUCCAGACUCCUACGGGAGGCAGCAGUGGGGAAUAUUGGACAAAGGGCGCAAGCCUGAACCAGCCAUACCGCGUGGGUGAAGAAGGCCUGCGGGUUGUAAAGCCCUUUUGUUGGGAAAGAAAAGCAGCAGGUUAAUACCACGCUGUUCUGACGGUACCCAAAGAAUAAGCACCGGCUAACUUCGUG
rnacentral:rRNA from 1 species